GAUGAACGCUGGCGGCGUGCCUAAUACAUGCAAGUCGAGCGAACGGACGAGAAGCUUGCUUCUCUGAUGUUAGCGGCGGACGGGUGAGUAACACGUGGAUAACCUACCUAUAAGACUGGGAUAACUUCGGGAAACCGGAGCUAAUACCGGAUAAUAUUUUGAACCGCAUGGUUCAAAAGUGAAAGACGGUCUUGCUGUCACUUAUAGAUGGAUCCGCGCUGCAUUAGCUAGUUGGUAAGGUAACGGCUUACCAAGGCAACGAUGCAUAGCCUACCUGAGAGGGUGAUCGGCCACACUGGAACUGAGACACGGUCCAGACGCCUACGGGAGGCAGCAGUAGGCAAUCUUCCGCAAUGGGCGAAAGCAUGACGGAGCAACGCCGCGUGAGUGAUGAAGGUUUUCGGAUCGUAAAACUCUGUCAUUAGGGAAGAACAUAUGUGUAAGUAACUGUGCACAUCUUGACGGUACCUAAUCAGAAAGCCACGGCUAACUACGUG
rnacentral:rRNA from 1 species